rnacentral:rRNA from 1 species
UACAGAGGUCUCAAGCGUUGUUCGGAUUCAUUGGGCGUAAAGGGUGCGUAGGCGGCGCGGUAAGUCGGGUGUGAAAUUUCGAGGCUUAACUUCGAAACUGCAUUCGAUACUGCCGUGCUUGAGGACUGGAGAGGAGACUGGAAUUUACGGUGUAGCGGUGAAAUGCGUAGAUAUCGAGAGGAACACCUGCGGCGAAGGCGGGUUGCUGGGCUGACACUGACGCUGAACUGCGAAAGCUAGGGGAGCGAACGGG